rnacentral:lncRNA from 1 species
GUCCGCCACAGAAACGCUUCCACUGUAAGGAGCAGCCUCGUCAGGAAGUUGGAAAGCCACGUUAAGGGGACUGAAGGCCUCUUGGCGCAGCAGCCCUUUCAAUCAUUCGCCUAAUGCUUAUUGCUGCUUCUCUGCCGACUCCAAGGUAGGGAUGGGGCUGUCCCCAACAGACACCAGCGCACAUGCCCUAUUUGGUAUAAGCAUCACUGAGUGUACACUGGGCAGCCGUAGGCUCGACCAGAUGGGGUCUGUGAGGGAAGCUCCACCUCAGGGGCUGUGGAGGGGGAGGAGGGGACACAAGGCCCGCCCCUCAGGCCUCCUAACCUUCUCUUAGCUCACGAUGGAAAAGGUCACCUGCACCAUCAUCUUUGGAAAUGAGCACGUCGAUGCCCGAGGAAAGAGGCAGGUAGUCAACGUUUUGGUUUCACAAGAACUACAGACACUCCAGAGUUGGAAGGGCCCUGCGGAGCCGCUGGCACAGCCCCCACCGCAAUCUGGGCAGGGCUGCUCUCGACAGCUGGCCAUCUGGCCCGUGCUGGAACAGUCCAUGCUCCGCUGGCUAUUCUUCCGUUUGGUUCAGACACGCUACCACCCAGUUUUCUGCAAACAGC